rnacentral:rRNA from 1 species
GAUGAACGCUGGCGGCGUGCUUAACACAUGCAAGUCGAACGAAGCACUUUACUUGAAUUUUUUCGGAAAGGAAAGUUUAGUGACUGAGUGGCGGACGGGUGAGUAACGCGUGGGUAACCUGCCUCAUACAGGGGGAUAACAGUUGGAAACGACUGCUAAUACCGCAUAAGCCCACGGCCUCGCAUGAGGCUGUGAGAAAAACUCCGGUGGUAUGAGAUGGACCCGCGUCUGAUUAGCUAGUUGGNGGGGUAACGGCCCACCAAGGCGACGAUCAGUAGCCGGUCUGAGAGGAUGAACGGCCACAUUGGGACUGAGAUACGGCCCAGACUCCUACGGGAGGCAGCAGUGGGGAAUAUUGCGCAAUGGGGGCAACCCUGACGCAGCAACGCCGCGUUGAGGAUGACGGUUUUCGGAUUGUAAACUCAUGUCGGGUGGGAAGAUAAUGACGGUACCACCGGAGAAAGUCACGGCUAACUACGUG